UACGUAGGGCGCAAGCGUUGUCCGAAAUUAUUGGGCGUAAAGAGCUCGUAGGUGGCGUGUCGCGUCUGCCGUGAAAGCCCAUGGCUUAACUGUGGGUCUGCGGUGGAUACGGGCAGGCUGGAGGCUGGUAGGGGCAAGCGGAAUUCCUGGUGUAGCGGUGAAAUGCGCAGAUAUCAGGAGGAACACCGGUGGCGAAGGCGGCUUGCUGGGCCAGUUCUGACGCUGAGGAGCGAAAGCGUGGGGAGCGAACAGG
rnacentral:rRNA from 1 species